UUGACCCACUGAACUCUCGACUUCUGCCUCCAGAAAAUCUCCUGCUGAUGCAACAAUGAGUGAUGGGAUGACAGAUGUCGUCGUAAGUCUGCCAUCUCCUCCUCCUCCAGCUCCCCCUCACGAUCCUCCCUUCCUUGGAGAUUCGCAAUCAACCCCUCCACCUCCUCCAAUCUCCGGAACACAUUACCCACAACAUCCCGAUUCCAUCUUCGAAGGCGACGCUUAGUAAGCUCCAAACUACGCGACACCCUCUGCAUAGCAUUUCCCUGUACUGGCACUCCCCAAGCCCCCCUGACCACUUCCCAAGAUUGUGGGUAUGACAACCACAGCUUCUCGAACCGGAAAGGGCUAUAAUGACUGGAUGUCGAAGCUGUAGAAAUCAAAAGAGGGCAGUGAUCUGAAGCAAUACGAGGAAGAUGACUAACCUGGUAAGAUGGAAAACGCUGAAUCCAAUCCGGGGAUGCAAUAGCUCUGUCAAGUCGCUCCCACACUCUCCCUCCUC
rnacentral:lncRNA from 1 species